rnacentral:rRNA from 1 species
GGGAUCGAAGAUGAUUAGAUACCAUCGUAGUCUUAACCAUCAACUAUGCCGACUAGGGAUUGGCGGACGUUGUCUAUAUGACUCCGCCAGCACCUCAUGAGGAAUCAAAGUCUUUGGGUUCCGGGGGGAGUAUGGUCGCAAGGCUGAAACUUAAAGGAAUUGACGGAAGGGCACCACCAGGAGUGGAGCCUGCGGCUUAAUUUGACUCAACACGGGAAAACUUACCAGGUCCAGACAUAGUAAGGAUUGACAGAUUGAGAGCUCUUUGUUGAUUCUAUGGGUGGUGGUGCGUGGCCGUUCUUAGUUGGUGGAGUGAUUUGUCUGGUUAAUUCCGAUAACGAACGAGACCCCAACCUGCUAACUAGACUAGAGUAUUUCACGAUACUUUAGCGCUUCUUAGAGGGACAUUUCGGAUCUACCGGAAGGAAGUUUGUG